CUGGCGGGAUGCUUUACACAUGCAAGUCGAACGGCAGCACGGACUUCGGUCUGGUGGCGAGUGGCGAACGGGUGAGUAACAUAUCGGAACGUAUCCAAUAAUGGGGGAUAACUAAUCGAAAGGUUGGCUAAUACCGCAUACGCCCUACGGGGGAAAGCUAGGGAUCUUCGGACCUGGCGUUAAUGGAGCGGCCGAUAUCUGAUUAGCUAGUUGGUGGGGUAAAGGCCCACCAAGGCGACGAUCAGUAGCUGGUCUGAGAGGACGACCAGCCACACUGGAACUGAGACACGGUCCAGACUCCUACGGGAGGCAGCAGUGGGGAAUUUUGGACAAUGGGCGCAAGCCUGAUCCAGCCAUUCCGCGUGAGUGAAGAAGGCCUUCGGGUUGUAAAGCUCUUUCGCAAGGGAAGAAAACUUAUCCUCUAACAUAGGAUGAGGUUGACGGUACCUUGAUAAGAAGCACCGGCUAACUACGUGCCAGCAGCCGCGGUAAUACGUAGGGUGCGAGCGUUAAUCGGAAUUACUGGGCGUAAAGCGUGCGCAGGCUGUUUUGUAAGUCAGAUGUGAAAUCCCUGAGCUCAACUUAGGAACUGCGUUUGAAACUACAAGACUAGAAUAUGUCAGAGGGGGGUAGAAUUCCACGUGUAGCAGUGAAAUGCGUAGAGAUGUGGAGGAAUACCAAUGGCGAAGGCAGCCCCCUGGGAUAAUAUUGACGCUCAUGCACGAAAGCGUGGGGAGCAAACAGGAUUAGAUACCCUGGUAGUCCACGCCCUAAACGAUGUCUACUAGUUGUUGGUGGAGUAAAAUCCAUGAGUAACGCAGCUAACGCGUGAAGUAGACCGCCUGGGGAGUACGGUCGCAAGAUUA
rnacentral:rRNA from 1 species